rnacentral:rRNA from 1 species
CGAAUGCUGACAUAAGUAACGAUAAAGCGGGUGAAAAGCCCGCUCGCCGGAAGACCAAGGGUUCCUGUCCAACGUUAAUCGGGGCAGGGUGAGUCGACCCCUAAGGCGAGGCCGAAAGGCGUAGUCGAUGGGAAACAGGUUAAUAUUCCUGUACUUGGUGUUACUGCGAAGGGGGGACGGAGAAGGCUAUGUUGGCCGGGCGACGGUUGUCCCGGUUUAAGCGUGUAGGCUGGUUUUCCAGGCAAAUCCGGAAAAUCAAGGCUGAGGCGUGAUGACGAGGCACUACGGUGCUGAAGCAACAAAUGCCCUGCUUCCAGGAAAAGCCUCUAAGCAUCAGGUAACAUCAAAUCGUACCCCAAACCGACACAGGUGGUCAGGUAGAGAAUACCAAGGCGCUUGAGAGAACUCGGGUGAAGGAACUAGGCAAAAUGGUGCCGUAACUUCGGGAGAAGGCACGCUGAUAUGUAGGUGAAGUCCCUCGCGGAUGGAGCUGAAAUCAGUCGAAGAUACCAGCUGGCUGCAACUGUUUAUUAAAAACACAGCACUGUGCAAACACGAAAGUGGACGUAUACGGUGUGACGCCUGCCCGGUGCCGGAAGGUUAAUUGAUGGGGUCAGCGCAAGCGAAGCUCUUGAUCGAAGCCCCGGUAAACGGCGGCCGUAACUAUAACGGUCCUAAGGUAGCGAAAUUCCUUGUCGGGUAAGUUCCGACCUGCACGAAUGGCGUAAUGAUGGCCAGGCUGUCUCCACCCGAGACUCAGUGAAAUUGAACUCGCUGUGAAGAUGCAGUGUACCCGCGGCAAGACGGAAAGACCCCGUGAACCUUUACUAUAGCUUGACACUGAACAUUGAGCCUUGAUGUGUAGGAUAGGUGGGAGGCUUUGAAGUGUGGACGCCAGUCUGCAUGGAGCCGGCCUUGAAAUACCACCCUUUAAUGUUUGAUGUUCUAACGUUGACCCGUAAUCCGGGUUGCGGACAGUGUCUGGUGGGUAGUUUGACUGGGGCGGUCUCCUCCUAAAGAGUAACGGAGGAGCACGAAGGUUGGCUAAUCCUGGUCGGACAUCAGGAGGUUAGUGCAAUGGCAUAAGCCAGCUUGACUGCGAGCGUGACGGCGCGAGCAGGUGCGAAAGCAGGUCAUAGUGAUCCGGUGGUUCUGAAUGGAAGGGCCAUCGCUCAACGGAUAAAAGGUACUCCGGGGAUAACAGGCUGAUACCGCCCAAGAGUUCAUAUCGACGGCGGUGUUUGGCACCUCGAUGUCGGCUCAUCACAUCCUGGGGCUGAAGUAGGUCCCAAGGGUAUGGCUGUUCGCCAUUUAAAGUGGUACGCGAGCUGGGUUUAGAACGUCGUGAGACAGUUCGGUCCCUAUCUGCCGUGGGCGCUGGAGAACUGAGGGGGGCUGCUCCUAGUACGAGAGGACCGGAGUGGACGCAUCACUGGUGUUCGGGUUGUCAUGCCAAUGGCACUGCCCGGUAGCUAAAUGCGGAAGAGAUAAGUGCUGAAAGCAUCUAAGCACGAAACUUGCC